AGACACUUUGCAGAUAGAGUAGGUCUUGAACACACUCUAUAAUUUACAAGGACCCAACAGUUCUAGUAAUUCCUCCAAGAGCAAGCAUUUAGUGUGAAAGC